ensembl:lncRNA
CUAGAAACAUACUUCUAACAUGGUUUAAAGUGGUUUUGGCCACUGUCACGCUGGCCUUACCUGGUCUUAGCUGGUUUUCUUUACUGAAUCAACUGGUUUUAGCUGGUUUAGUAUAGAAAAAUGAAAACAACAUGCUAGUUACUCACUAAUCAGACUAGAAACAUGCUUUUAACAUGGUUUUAAAGUGGUUUUGGCCACUGUCACGCUGGCCUUAGCUGGUUUUAGCUGGUUUUCUUUACUGAAUCAACUGGUUUUAGCUGGAUUAGAAUAGAAAAAUGUUAACAACAUGCUAGUAACUUGCUUAUCAGACUAGAAACAUACUUCUAACAUGGUUUAAAGUGGUUUUGGCCACUGUCACGCUGGCCUUAGCUGGUCUUAGCUGGUUUUCUUUACUGAAUCAACUGGUUUUAGCUAGAUUAUCAUAGAAACAUGUUAACAACAUGUUAGUAACUUGAUAAUCCGGUUAGAAACAUGCUUUUAACAUGCUUUUAACAUGGUUUUAAAGUAGUUUUGGCCACUGUCACGCUGGUCUUAGCUGAAACAUGCUAGUCACUUGCUAAUCAUGCUAAAAAAAUACUAGUCACUUUGCUAAUCAUGAUAACAAAAUGCUAGUCACUUUGUUAAUCAUGCUAAAAACAUGCUAGAAACAUGCUACAAACAUGCUAGUCAUGCUAGCAACAUGCUAGAGACAUGCUAGUCAUGUUAACAGCAUGCUAGUCACUUGCUACUUAUGCUAGCUACAUGCUAAUAAUGCUAACAACAUGCUAGUCUCUUGUUAAUCAUGGUAACAACAUGCUAGUAAC